GAGUUUGAUCCUGGCUCAGAUUGAACGCUGGCGGCAGGCCUAACACAUGCAAGUCGAGCGGUAGAGAGAAGCUUGCUUCUCUUGAGAGCGGCGGACGGGUGAGUAAUGCCUAGGAAUCUGCCUGGUAGUGGGGGAUAACGCUCGGAAACGGACGCUAAUACCGCAUACGUCCUACGGGAGAAAGCAGGGGACCUUCGGGCCUUGCGCUAUCAGAUGAGCCUAGGUCGGAUUAGCUAGUUGGUGAGGUAAUGGCUCACCAAGGCGACGAUCCGUAACUGGUCUGAGAGGAUGAUCAGUCACACUGGAACUGAGACACGGUCCAGACUCCUACGGGAGGCAGCAGUGGGGAAUAUUGGACAAUGGGCGAAAGCCUGAUCCAGCCAUGCCGCGUGUGUGAAGAAGGUCUUCGGAUUGUAAAGCACUUUAAGUUGGGAGGAAGGGCAGUAAAUUAAUACUUUGCUGUUUUGACGUUUACCGACAGAAUAAGCACCGGCUAACUCUGU
rnacentral:rRNA from 1 species